rnacentral:rRNA from 1 species
UGAGGAAUAUUGGUCAAUGGGCGAGAGCCUGAACCAGCCAAGUAGCGUGCAGGAUGACGGCCCUAUGGGUUGUAAACUGCUUUUAUGUGGGGAUAAAGUGCGUGACGUGUCAUGCAUUGCAGGUACCACAUGAAUAAGGACCGGCUAAUUCAGUGCCAGCAGCCGCGGUAAUACGGAAGGUCCGGGCGUUAUCCGGAGUUAUUGGGUUUAAAGGGAGCGUAGGCUGUCUAUUAAGCGUGUUGUGAAAUUUACCGGCUCAACCGGUGGCUUGCAGCGCGAACUGGUCGACUUGAGUAUGCAGGAAGUAGGCGGAAUUCAUGGUGUAGCGGUGAAAUGCUUAGAUAUCAUGACGAACUCCGAUUGCGCAGGCAGCUUACUGUAGCAUAACUGACGCUGAUGCUCGAAAGUGCGGGUAUCAAACAGG